GCUAUAAUACAAGUAUAUAUACACAUUUAUGCAACUAACAUAAUACAAUUACCUCACAAUGCUGAAUACGGUAAACAGACCCUUACACAGUUUGGAGCUCAUCCUUCUGGGAUCAAGGAUUUCUGGAGUUUAAAGUGGAAUGGUAGAGCAUAAGCGAAGCCGGUUGGAGCAAGAUUUCCUACACAGGAAAUGACUUAGCAGUUUACCCCCUCGUAGUGUCAUAAUUCAUCACUCGAUCUACGUCCAACCUCCGCUGAGACCUUGCAUGCAGUUCGGUGAUAUGUCUUCAAGGCAGCAAUGACGACUGGAGACUGGAUGGAAAGUCCGUUUGCCUUAUUUGGGGAUUGCGUAGUGGAAGACCUUCGACCUUUUCUGAUUGUUCAUGACGAG